rnacentral:rRNA from 1 species
CAAUAGCGUAUAUUUAAGUUGUUGCAGUUAAAAAGUUCGUAGUCGGAUUUUGGCUGAGAACGAACGGUCCGCCGUUAGGUGUGCACUGUUUGGUCUCAGCUUCCUGGUGAGGAGGUGUGCUUCACGGCCACUUAGUCACCGUGGUUACUUUGAAAAAAUUAGAGUGUUCAAAGCGGGCUUACGCUUGAAUAUAUUAGCAUGGAAUAACACCAUAGGACUCCUGUCCUAUUUCGUUGGUCUCGGGACGGGAGUAAUGAUUAAGAGGAACAGUUGGGGGCAUUCGUAUUUCAUUGUCAGAGGUGAAAUUCUUGGAUUUAUGAAAGACGAACUUCUGCGAAAGCAUUUGCCAAGGAUGUUUUCAUUGA